GGUAAGGUGGCUCAGUGGUAGAGAGCUUGCCUUGCAUGCAUGAAGCCCUGGGUUCGAUUCCUCAGCACCA
rnacentral:tRNA from 1 species